rnacentral:rRNA from 1 species
UUGCUCCGCUGACGAGUGGCGAACGGGUGAGUAAUGCAUCGGAACGUGCCUAUUUGUGGGGGAUAACGUAGCGAAAGUUACGCUAAUACCGCAUACGCCCUGAGGGGGAAAGCGGGGGAUUCGUAAGAACCUCGCGCAAUUAGAGCGGCCGAUGUCGGAUUAGCUAGUUGGUGGGGUAAAGGCUCACCAAGGCGACGAUCCGUAGCGGGUCUGAGAGGAUGAUCCGCCACACUGGAACUGAGACACGGUCCAGACUCCUACGGGAGGCAGCAGUGGGGAAUUUUGGACAAUGGGGGCAACCCUGAUCCAGCCAUGCCGCGUGAGUGAAGAAGGCCUUCGGGUUGUAAAGCUCUUUCAGCCGGGAAGAAAUCACAUGGGUUAAUACCCUGUGUGGAUGACGGUACCGGAAUAAGAAGCACCGGCUAACUACGUGCCAGCAGCCGCGGUAAUACGUAGGGUGCGAGCGUUAAUCGGAAUUACUGGGCGUAAAGCGUGCGCAGGCGGUUUGUUAAGAUAGGCGUGAAAUCCCCGGGCUCAACCUGGGAACUGCGUUUAUGACUGGCAGGCUAGAGUAUGGCAGAGGGGGGUGGAAUUCCACGUGUAGCAGUGAAAUGCGUAGAGAUGUGGAGGAACACCGAUGGCGAAGGCAGCCCCCUGGGCCAAUACUGACGCUCAUGCACGAAAGCGUGGGUAGCAAACAGGAUUAGAUACCCUGGUAGUCCACGCCCUAAACGAUGUC